rnacentral:rRNA from 1 species
GAUGAACGCUGGCGGCGUGCUUAACACAUGCAAGUCGAACGGUGAAGCCAAGCUUGCUUGGUGGAUCAGUGGCGAACGGGUGAGUAACACGUGAGCAACCUGCCCUGGACUCUGGGAUAAGCGCUGGAAACGGUGUCUAAUACUGGAUAUGAGACGUGAUCGCAUGGUCGUGUUUGGAAAGAUUUUUCGGUCUGGGAUGGGCUCGCGGCCUAUCAGCUUGUUGGUGAGGUAAUGGCUCACCAAGGCGUCGACGGGUAGCCGGCCUGAGAGGGUGACCGGCCACACUGGGACUGAGACACGGCCCAGACUCCUACGGGAGGCAGCAGUGGGGAAUAUUGCACAAUGGGCGAAAGCCUGAUGCAGCAACGCCGCGUGAGGGAUGACGGCCUUCGGGUUGUAAACCUCUUUUAGCAGGGAAGAAGCGAAAGUGACGGUACCUGCAGAAAAAGCGCCGGCUAACUACGUGCCAGCAGCCGCGGUAAUACGUAGGGCGCAAGCGUUAUCCGGAAUUAUUGGGCGUAAAGAGCUCGUAGGCGGUUUGUCGCGUCUGCUGUGAAAUCCCGAGGCUCAACCUCGGGCCUGCAGUGGGUACGGGCAGACUAGAGUGCGGUAGGGGAGAUUGGAAUUCCUGGUGUAGCGGUGGAAUGCGCAGAUAUCAGGAGGAACACCGAUGGCGAAGGCAGAUCUCUGGGCCGUAACUGACGCUGAGGAGCGAAAGGGUGGGGAGCAAACAGGCUUAGAUACCCUGGUAGUCCACCCCGUAAACGUUGGGAACUAGUUGUGGGGACCAUUCCACGGUUUCCGUGACGCAGCUAACGCAUUAAGUUCCCCGCCUGGGGAGUACGGCCGCAAGGCUAAAACUCAAAGGAAUUGACGGGGACCCGCACAAGCGGCGGAGCAUGCGGAUUAAUUCGAUGCAACGCGAAGAACCUUACCAAGGCUUGACAUAUACGAGAACGGGCCAGAAAUGGUCAACUCUUUGGACACUCGUAAACAGGUGGUGCAUGGUUGUCGUCAGCUCGUGUCGUGAGAUGUUGGGUUAAGUCCCGCAACGAGCGCAACCCUCGUUCUAUGUUGCCAGCACGUAAUGGUGGGAACUCAUGGGAUACUGCCGGGGUCAACUCGGAGGAAGGUGGGGAUGACGUCAAAUCAUCAUGCCCCUUAUGUCUUGGGCUUCACGCAUGCUACAAUGGCCGGUACAAAGGGCUGCAAUACCGUGAGGUGGAGCGAAUCCCAAAAAGCCGGUCCCAGUUCGGAUUGAGGUCUGCAACUCGACCUCAUGAAGUCGGAGUCGCUAGUAAUCGCAGAUCAGCAACGCUGCGGUGAAUACGUUCCCGGGUCU